rnacentral:tRNA from 1 species
GCCCCGGUAGCUCAACCGGAUAGAGCCACCAACCGCUAAUUGGAGGCGUGUGGGUUCGAAUCCCACCCGGGGCA